rnacentral:tRNA from 1 species
GGGUGCUUAGCUCAGUUGGUUAGAGCGCCUCGCUUACACCGAGGAGGUCGCAGGUUCGACCCCUGCAGCACCCACCA